rnacentral:lncRNA from 1 species
AUUAAUAAGGCCUGUAAUACUAUGAGAAGGAAAUGGUGGCAAUUGGCAAAUGGAACUCUGUUGCUUGGUAACAAAACCUGAGAAAUAAUCAAAACCCUCUGCACUCACUCAGAAGUGUCCAUAAGUCCUGUUCAAGUAAUCUUAAAAGAGACUGUUCCAAUAUUCGAUCUGCCUCGUUCAACAAGGCAAAAAGGUGAGGAAGCAGAGAAUUAUUUUUGAAUGGCUACUGCUUAAAGAGUUGCCUGCGUGAGGUUUGGUGGCAAGAAGCAGAAGUCAGAGCCUGUGGUUCCUGUUGCUCUUCGGCGGUAUGAAAGAGAGAAGAAGGCGUGCUUCAUUAUAUGAAGCUUUGCUCCUAAGGUGGAGUCUUGCUGCAUCACCAAGGCUGGAGUGCAC